UUCAGAAGUACCAGAAGAAGGGCAAGAAAGGCUGGAUGGCUGUGAAAAUAUCCAGGAGCAGUUUCUGUUAGUCAAGAAGAUCUGUGGCAUAAAAAUCACAGGUUGCAGGAGGAAAAUGCCAGGUUAAGACUGGAAAUAAAUGCAAUAAAAAAUCAAAGCCAGGGAAAGGAAAAGAAAUACCUGGAAGACAUUGAAAUUGCACAAGAAAAGACUGAUAA